rnacentral:tRNA from 1 species
GCGGAUGUGGCGGAAUUGGCAGACGCGCUGGCUUCAGGUGCCAGUGGGCUUACGCCCGUGGAGGUUCGAGUCCUCUCAUCCGCA